CCUGCCCAGCCUUUAGGACUUGUACAACUCCAGAGUGAAGAAACGGGCAGGUAACAUCAUCAAAGACCCCUCUCACCCCGGACACAACUUGUUUGCACUUCUCCCUUCAGCCAGACGCUACAGAUCUCUGUGCACUAGAACAUCUAGGCAUAAAAACAGUUUUUUCCCCAUGCCAUCUCCAGCCUAAACAGCUAACACAUGAAUCAUUACCGGUAUUCUGUAAUUCAUUCUCCAUCUUUAAUUAUUGCCUCUUUCUCAAGUAUUAUGUAAAUACACAUACAUAUCUGUUUAUUUAUACAGCUGUAUAUAGAGUAAAUAAUGCACAAAUCUGUACAUAAAUCUACUGUUCCAGAUUCAUACUUAUUAUUAUUAUUAUUAUGAUUAUUAUCCAUUGUUAAGUCUUACUAUUUAAAUGUUUUUUCUGUUCUCAUGUCAGAUGUGUUUGUAUGUAUGUAUGUACCAGGAUCACCUUAAAACCACAACAAAUUCCUUGUGUGUUUGCGCACACCUGGCGAAUAAAGCUAAUUCUGAUUCUGAUUCUGAUCAGACUUACAAUUUUCACCUGGCGGACCAUAAAAUUGGCUAAAAGGUCCCUGAAUCAAAUAUAAUGAGACCAGAAUAUCACAGAACUAAUCAACCACAUUCAUAACAACACCCUAGAAAAAAUCAAAAGACAAAAUAUAUGUUUAUAAAAUAUAAAAAUUCUUGAUGUUCCCACUGAAAUAAAAAAUUAAAGAUAUUCACAGGUUUCCUUCAAAUGAUGUGGUUCUUUGUUGGAUAAAUGGCACUGAAACGUGUGAAUGCAAUUAGUGGCUUGUGUCUCCCCUCUUCUGUGGUGAUUUCCAGCAUAUCAUUUUCGCGCAUCAGGGAGCCGCUAUUGUAUACGGAGUAUUUAAAUCUCUUCUGAAUGAGCAGCGCUCGCUGUUCACUUUCACUUUCGAUUUCGCGAUCACGCGCACUCUGUUAUACAGGGAGCACAUCUUACAUCUUCAAAUUAGCUGGGUCCCAGUUGGGCCCCAGAUAUCCCCAGUUGCGACCCCUCCCCUAUGGGCCUCACAUGGGUGUGUUGGCUGGGUAAUAUCUGCCUCCUGCAGCUUGUGUUGAAUGCAGGGUUGCCAAAUUCGCGUUUUUCCCCCACAUAAUUGGGCUACUUUUAAACUGUUGCAGCGUGUUUAUUUCCCCCCUGGGAUAAAUGUUUAAAAUAUUGCAUAAAAUGCAUUUGACUGAAAUGUUUGUAUUGAAACAUUUUGCAUUCUACCUAUGAUAAAACUGUGCAAGAUGUUAAGUUUUGUGAAGGAUGGCCACUGUUUGGGCGCCUUUUAGCUGUGUUUAUGAUCAAUCUGCAUAAGGGUGACUGUAAAAUAUUUUCGGUAAGGAAAUUACAUAUUUUGAGUUUUGAUAUGGUUUAUGGUCAUUGGGCUACUUUGGGGGCUUUUUAACCCACUUACCAGCAAGCAAGGCAACUGCAAUGAAGCAUCAACAAGGACAUGUGCGUGCCAGCCACCCUGAGACUGAUAAUUCAUGAGAAGACAUUUCUGUCACUAACAAAGUGGACGGUGAGGAAAGAUGGUGGCCACGUUUUGGAGCAGCACCUGGGUUUAGCAGAUAGCUAUGUAUUCUUUGGCUGUGUGUCUAUUAUGUUUCUGUUGCCUAAAGAUUCUUUGUGAGGAUGAAUCCAGAGGAUACAACUUAAUGCACUGCAAAACGUCCUAAGACGGGAGAAAUGGUGAAGAUGCACUGUUCCAGCGCUGGAAGACUGUAAUUUUUAGUGUUAUACAAUGCUUUAAAUUAAGAAUUUGAUAUUUUGUAAUUAUUGUGUCUGUUUUAAUUGAAUGUACCUAUGUAGAGUAAAAGUAAAAUGAAUUCUAUAUAAAAAUAAAAUCUAAUGAAAUCUAUAUUAAAAUUAAUGAAUUACAGUAGUAUACUGAUGAACUGGUGAAUUUACUGUAAAACAGUACAGUUUGCAACUGUAAAUCAAAUACAGUUUGCUACUGUAAAUCUUUAUUACAGUAACCUACUGGCAACAGUAAAAAACCCUUUGAAAUGUCUAACAGUGUAUGUGAUUCCUAUGGUGUUUCUCUAUGACAGUCUGGUUAUUAAAUAUAGCUCAGGUCAGAUUUUUCAUACAGUCCUUCCUUUGUAAUACAAGAUAUCAAAUCUUUUCCUUUUUAAAAGGUGCUGCUACAUAGUAAAGAUGUGAAUUACACCUCAAAAAAUGUGCAGCUGGUUGAGGAAUCUGUGCUAUUACUUUUCUAAGUGGUAUCAGACUUACAAUUUUCACCUGGUGGACCAUAAAAUUGGCUAAAAGGUCCCAGAAUCAAAUAUAAUGAGACCAGAAUAUCACAGAACUAAUCAACCACAUUCAUAACAACACCCUAGAAAAAAUCAAAAGACAAAAUAUAUGUUUAUAAAAUAUAAAAAUACUUGAUGUUCCCACUGAAAUAAAAAAUUAAAGAUA